AGCGAACGCUGGCGGCAUGCCUAACACAUGCAAGUCGCACGGGGGGGCUUCGGCCUCCCAGUGGCGGACGGGUGAGGAACGCGUAGGGACCUGUCGAGGGGUGGGGGAUAACCGCGGGAAACUGCGGCUAAUACCGCAUGACGCCGCGGCGUGACAGCCGGGGCCAAAGGCGAAAGCCGCCCGCCGAGGGGCCUGCGUCCGAUUAGCUGGUUGGCGGGGUAGCGGCCCACCAAGGCGUCGAUCGGUAGCUGGUCUGUGAGGGUGAUCAGCCACACCGGGACUGAGACACGGCCCGGACUCCUACGGGAGGCAGCAGUGGGGAAUAUUGGACAAUGGGCGCAAGCCUGAUCCAGCAAUGCCGCGUGGGUGAAGAAGGUCUUCGGAUUGUAAAGCCCUUUCGGCGGGGACGAUGGUGACGGUACCCGCAGAAGAAGCCCCGGCUAACUUCGUG
rnacentral:rRNA from 1 species